GGCCCGUUGGUCAAGCGGUUAAGACACCGCCCUUUCACGGCGGUAACAUGGGUUCGAAUCCCGUACGGGUCA
rnacentral:tRNA from 7 species